rnacentral:rRNA from 1 species
UAACACGUAGGGGGCGAGCGUUGUCCGGAUUCAUUGGGCGUAAAGAGCGUGUAGGCGGCCAGGUAGGUCCGUUGUGAAAACUCGAGGCUCAACCUCGAGACGUCGAUGGAAACCAUCUGGCUAGAGUCCGGAAGAGGAGAGUGGAAUUCCUGGUGUAGCGGUGAAAUGCGCAGAUAUCAGGAAGAACACCUAUGGCGAAGGCAGCUCUCUGGGACGGUACUGACGCUGAGACGCGAAAGCGUGGGGAGCGAACAG